rnacentral:lncRNA from 1 species
CUCCAUAUUGAAGAAGAAUAAAAAUAUGAGCAUAUCUGAAUAUUUGCCCUACUUUGUUUGACUAAUUCUACCUGAACAGACAUAUAUAUCACCCUCUCUUUCAUCUUUAUUCUCUCUACUUCACAAAAAUGGAAGCAACCCAAGCGAUUGUGAUUAUCAAUUCUUAGCUCUAUUUUAUUCGGGAACGAUAGUCUAAGGUUUAAGACCAAGCAAUUAAAGCAAAACAAAAUCCAUUUGGAAAUUAUAAGAACCUAAGAAUCAGCAAGAGAAUCAAGAAAAGAUAAGGGCUUGGAUUGGAUGGUGUUGUAGCAUAUUAGUAACUUUUAUCAUUAUAAAUCCAUCCAGUGGUUGAGGUAUGAGAUUCGACAGCCUAGCUAGCUAUUAUCCUGGCCAGCCUUCAACACCAUCUUUGACAAUAUUUGCAACCUUACCUCACUCACAGUGUUUCAAAGAUCAAAAGGUGCAAAGGGAAAACGAAAGGUUCUUGGCC